rnacentral:tRNA from 1 species
CCCUGGUUAGCUCAGUUGGUAGAGCGUUCCACUGGUAAUGGAGAGCUGCCGGGUAUGAGGCCCGGAGCAGGCG